rnacentral:pre_miRNA from 1 species
GGGUGAAUUGAGCUGCUUAGCUAUGGAUCCCACAGUUCUACCCAUCAAUAAGUGCUUUUGUGGUAGUCUUGUGGCUUCCAUAUCUGGGGAGCUUCAUUUGCCU